CCGUCCGCCGCCCGAAAGCCUUUCCUGGCGUGUGGCUGCCCCUUUCACACCUGUCCUUGCAUAUACACACCUGUUCUUGUGCAUGAACACCUGUCCUUGCACACCUGUCCUUACAAGUGCCCAUCUGUCCUUGCUCAUGCACAUCUGCCCCUGCAAAUGAAUGCCUGCCCUGGUGCCUUGCUGUGUAUAUGACUGUUCAACACUGCAGCUGUUGUGUCAGCUUGUGCCGGAUAUGUCUGCUGCAGAGUGUUUGCAUUGUUGGUGAGCAGACACACCCUCGUGCAGCUGUGUGUGAGCGUGUUUGUGUGUGUGUGUGUGGUUGUGUCCAGCUGAGUGUGCUGCAUGUGCAUGUCCGUGUGUGUACUGGUCUGAGUGUGCAGCUGUGUGUGUGCAGCUCUGUGCAGCUGUGUGUGUAGCUGGGGAUGUGUGUGCCUGUGUGUGCAGCUGUGUGUAUGUGGCUUUGUGUGUAGGUGCUGCUGUAUCUGUGUGUGGCAGUGCCCAUGUGCUCCAGUGAAGCACUUUUUACAGGCAGGUCUGAACACCUGCACUCGGGGUGUACACAUCCACAGGAGUCUGGGUGACAGGUCUGCCUCAUCCUUUGUCUGCUACAGUGUCUGGGGAAGGCUGGAGCUUGAGGAGGAGGAAGACCCUGGUGAAUUAAGGAGUGAGGCAGAGGAGGAUACUGGUCAGAGCGUAUAAGAUCCCUGGAUCCCCAUGGGAUUCAGUCAGGAGCCAAAGGAACUGUGGGAAGUCCCUGCCAUCCUGGAGGGAUGCUUGCAAUAAUUUGUGAUCAGUGGUGGCAACUGGGAAAGGACUGAGGAGAGUCGAUGUUACUGCUCUGCACUGGACACAGCACUCCAGGGGUGGCCUCAUAGGAACCUCCGUGACCUCCUGUGGCCUGCUGACAACACCUCCCAGUGCAGCUCAGGAUGUCACUCACCUGUUUUGCCCUGAGGAGAUGAGCAGCACAAUCUUGGCCAAGCCAGCCCAGACCCAGCUGCUCCUGGGGCCCAGCGGACCCAGCUCAGCCUGGCCUGGGGGCAGGGCUCGGUAGCAGCAAGAUGUCAGCAGCCGCAGCCACGGCCCCACCUCGGCCCCGCAGCCUCUCCUCUCCCUGCCCCGCAGCCGAUGGGGCCCGGUGAAAGGUGAUUACAACAUGUAACUAUCAACAAGAUCAACAAGGAACAGUUACAACUCCACCCUGGCAGCAACUGGCCCAACCAGUGAACUCUGCAACCUUUAAAAAAAUGGGUAAUUUUUCUACUCAUAACAGUCUGUGUGUUGCUGUGUGUGGUGCUGUUGGCGGUGCUGUCGGUCUGUGUGGUGUGGGCCUGUGCAUGGUUGCUGUGUGUUGCU